AGAGGCCCCACAUUCCAUCCACUUUAGAUGUUAGUUGGGUCCUGUGGUCUGGCCUGGAAACCCAGUCAUCCUUUACGACAUCACACAAUCAUGAAGCAGGAAUGGUCUUGCCACAGAGAGCUUCACCUUGGCUACUUUUCUUUACAGCCUUGGAGGCACACCAUGAAGGCUGGGUAUGUGUCGAUGGUGUCCCUACCCAGACAUGGCCAAUACUUAGCACCCUAAGUCAGUGGGAUCACGGGAGCCACAUCCGGAAAACCAAAGGACUCAGGACAGUUGACUGGAUGGAAGCCAGUAAACGCCUUGAGAAUGAUCACGUUCAAUAUCCCAAUAAGCCUUCAUUGAUCUUUUCCGUGCACUCAACCCAACCUCCUACAGGCACCAUCUUCACACAGUGACACUGAAAUGUAGAAUAAAAGACUUGAGGGAUGCUUGGGUAGCUCAGUGGGUUAAAGUCUCUGCCUUUGGCUCGGGUCAUGAUCCCAGGGUCCUGGGUUAGAGCCCUGCAUCAGGCUCUUUGCUCAGUGGGGAGCCUGCUUCCUGCUUGCCUCUCUGCCUACUUGUGAUCUCUCUGUCAAAU
rnacentral:lncRNA from 1 species